CCCCUGUUCAAAAAGGGGGACCAGAGAGUGUGUGCCAAUUACCGGGGUAUCACAGUUCUCAGCCUCCCUGGUAAAGUCUACUCCAAGAUGCUGGAAAGGAGGGUUCGGCCGAUCGUCGAACCUCAGAUUGAAGAGGAACAAUGCGGUUUUCGCCCCGGACGCGGAACUACGGACCAGCUCUUCACUCUCGCAAGGAUCCUGGAGGGGGCCUGGGAGUAUGCCCAUCCGGUCUACAUGUGUUUUGUGGAUCUGGAGAAGGCGUUUGACCGGGUCCCCAAGGAUAAACUGUGGGAGAUUGAGGUCAAUGACGGAAGCAUGCGCACGUGAGUUGACCACGCCCCUCUUUCCAUGCCCUGAAGCAGCGCGCCAUUUUGUUCAUCUUCUGGCUGCAGCGAGCGGCUUCCACUUACUCUCGGAAUGUAUGGACAAACUGAACCUCAGGAACUUGGUGUCUAUUUCAAUGGAUGGGCCCAAUGUGAAUUGGAAACUCUUCGACCUUUUCCAGAAAGAUCAAGCUGAGCAGUACGGAGGUCUUCAGCUCGUUUGUGUGGGGAGCUGUGGCCUACACACGCUACACAACUCCUUCAAGUGUGGGUUCACUGUAUGGCAGCUGGACAAAUUGCUGAGAGCAAUACACACAUUGUUUCACAAUACGCCUGCCAGGAGAGAGGAUUACAUCACCGUAACCAAGUCCAGUGUGUUCCCUCUAUCUUUCUGUGCCCAUCGUUGGGUAGAAAACCUUCCGGUUGUGGAGAGAGCCCUGGCAGUCUGGCCAUCAUUUCUCCUGUACAUGGAAGCUGUGAAAACAAAGAGACUCCCGAACCCUGGAACAGCAUCAUAUGACACAGUUGCAGCAGCCAUAAAGGAUCCACUCGUCUUGGCCAAAUUGCAGUUCUACGCAGCAAUUGCCAGGACCUUCAAUCCCUUCCUGAAAAAAUAUCAGACGGAUGAGCCUGUGCUCCCAUUCCUCCCCAAAGGACCUGACCGAGUUGAUGAUGUCUACCCAGACGCUUCAUAAAGAGAGAAGUACUACACGAUAUCACUGCCCUGCAGCUGACCAAACUGGAUGUCACAAACAAGACCAUCUGGCUCAGCCCACAAGACAUCAGCAUUGGUCUAGGUGCAGAGUCAGUCCUUAAGGUAGUGUGGUGUUUUCAAAAGAUAAUUUUACAAAUGGUUAGGGUGAACCAGGUGUCAUUGAAGACAUGUUCUAUAUUCAUGGCUAAUUUCUCUCUCUAGAGAAUCAAAGGUGCAGAGCUCAGGGUGCUCGAGUUCAAGAGAGAGUGCAUGCAGGGACUGAGUAACAUGAUCAAGAAAGUGCAGGACAAGAGCCCCCUCAAGUAUCUGACUGUUAGGCAGAUGGUGUGCCUGAAUCCGUCAGUAAUGUAUAGAGAACCAGAAAGAGGCAGGAAUCACAUGAAAGGGCUGGUUCAAAGGUUUCUCCAGGACAAACAGCUUACUGAUACUUCUUCGGGGGAUGUCAUACUGCAGCAGUUUGACAGUCUCCUUUCCUUGGAGAGCCGGAGUGAGGACUUCCUCUCCUUUCAAACCAUGCAGACGAGGCUGGACAUCUUCCUGAGCAGCGCCAUGGAGCCUUAUCCCGAGCUGUGGGCCUUCUGCAAGAAGCUGCUCAUCCUCAUCCACGGUCAAGCUACAGUUGAGCGUGGAUUCUCAAUCAAUAAAGAGGUGGAGUCUGAUAACUUGGCGGAGGAUACAGUGGUCACACGGAGACUGGUGUGUGACUACAUCAUACAACAUGGAGGUGUUACCAAGGUUCCACUCAGUAAACCGCUACUGGAAAGUGUAGCAAGGGCAAGGACAAGGUAUCGUACCCAUCUGGAGACCAAAAGAAGGAACAGGGAGGCAAAAGACCAGGCUCUCAAGAGGAGGGAAGCAGAGGACUGUCUUGAGGAGCUGAAGGUUAAGAGGAGACGUGUACAGGAGGUAUCUGAGGGUCUGGCUAGGGAUGCAGACAAGAUGGCUGAGGAGGCUGAAGCGAAGGCAGGGAGCAAGAUGGCUGGCCUGAUCACCAGGUCAAACAUUCUGCGGAGAGGCCAUAAGGAGAAGUUGGCAGAACUGGCUCUCCUUGAUAAAGAGAUCGCUGCUAAGAGUGCAGAGCUUAGGAGUUGACUGUGUGAUCAUAAUUUUAUUUAUUGUUGAGUUGAUUUUCAUUGUUUAUUGCUCAGGAGUCUGUGCUGUUGGCGUAAGUACUCACCACUAUGCUGCAAUGUUCCAUCAUUCCAUAAUGCUUUACAGUCCACAUUUUCACAUUUGUUGAAAUAAAUGAACACAUUUUGAACAAACGCUGUCGGUAGGUCUGUGAAAUAGGCCGUGAAAUAGGUAUUAAUUUUUAUAUAAGUGGUCUUAAAAGGGAC
ensembl:lncRNA